GACGAACGCUGGCGGCGUGCUUAACACAUGCAAGUCGAACGGAAAGGCCCUGCUUUUGUGGGGUGCUCGAGUGGCGAACGGGUGAGUAACACGUGAGUAACCUGCCCUUGACUUUGGGAUAACUUCAGGAAACUGGGGCUAAUACCGGAUAGGAGCUCCUGCUGCAUGGUGGGGGUUGGAAAGUUUCGGCGGUUGGGGAUGGACUCGCGGCUUAUCGGCUUGUUGGUGGGGUAGUGGCUGACCAAGGCUUUGACGGGUAGCCGGCAUGGGAGGGUGACCGGCGACAAUGGGACUGAGAGACGGCCCAGAGUGCUACGGGAGGCAGCAGUGGGGAAUAUGGCACAAUGGGCGGAAGUCUGAUGCAGCAACGUCGCGGGCGGGAUGACGGCUUUUGGGUAGAAAACCGCUUUCGCCUGUGACGAAGCGGGAGUGACGGUAAUGGGUAAAGAAGCACCGGCUAACUACGUG
rnacentral:rRNA from 1 species